UUCCCUGGCUGUCCGGUGGUUAAGACUCUGCACUUCAAAUGCAGCGGGUGCAGGUUCAAUCCCUGGUUGGGAAG
rnacentral:tRNA from 1 species